AAUGAACGCUGGCGGCAGGCCUAACACAUGCAAGUCGAACGGAUCCUUCGGGAUUAGUGGCGGACGGGUGAGUAACGCGUGGGAACAUACCCUUUGGUACGGAAUAGCCUCGGGAAACUGGGAGUAAUACCGUAUGUGGUCGAGAGACGAAAGAUUUAUCGCCAAAGGAUUGGCCCGCGUUGGAUUAGGUAGUUGGUGGGGUAAUGGCCUGCCAAGCCGACGAUCCAUAGCUGGUUUGAGAGGAUGAUCAGCCACACUGGGACUGAGACACGGCCCAGACUCCUACGGGAGGCAGCAGUGGGGAACCUUAGACAAUGGGGGAAACCUUGAUCUAGCCAUGCCGCGUGAUCGAUGAAGGCCUUAGGGUUGUAAAGAUCUUUCAGGUGGGAAGAUAAUGACUGUACCACCAGAAGAAGCCCCGGCUAACUCCGUGCCAGCCGCCGCAGUAA
rnacentral:rRNA from 1 species